UACGGGGGGGGCGAAGCGUUGUUCGGAAUUACUGGGCGUAAAGCGUGCGCAGGCGGUUAUGCAAGACAGAUGUGAAAUCCCCGGGCUUAACCUGGGAACCGCAUUUGUGACUGCAUAGCUGGAGUACGGCAGAGGGGGAUGGAAUUCCGCGUGUAGCAGUGAAAUGCGUAGAUAUGCGGAGGAACACCGAUGGCGGAAGGCAGUCCCCUGGGCCUGCACUGACGCUCAUGCACGAAAGCGUGGGGAGCAAACAGG
rnacentral:rRNA from 1 species